GACGAACGCUGGCGGCGUGCUUAACACAUGCAAGUCGAACGGUAAGGCCCUUCGGGGUACACGAGUGGCGAACGGGUGAGUAACACGUGGGUGAUCUGCCCUGCACUUCGGGAUAAGCCUGGGAAACUGGGUCUAAUACCGGAUAGGACCACUGCCUGCAGGGGUGGUGGUGGAAAGCUUUUGCGGUGUGGGAUGGGCCCGCGGCCUAUCAGCUUGUUGGUAGGGUGAUGGCCUACCAAGGCGACGACGGGUAGCCGGCCUGAGAGGGUGACCGGCCACACUGGGACUGAGAUACGGCCCAGACUCCUACGGGAGGCAGCAGUGGGGAAUAUUGCACAAUGGGCGCAAGCCUGAUGCAGCGACGCCGCGUGAGGGAUGACGGCCUUCGGGUUGUAAACCUCUUUCAGCACCGACGAAGCGCAAGUGACGGUAGGUGCAGAAGAAGGACCGGCCAACUACGUGCCAGCCGCCGCAGUAACAC
rnacentral:rRNA from 1 species